CUGGCGGCAGGCUUAACACAUGCAAGUCGAGCGGAUGUAGCAAUACAUCAGCGGCAGACGGGAUAGUAACACGUGGGAACGCGCCCUUUGGUUCGGAAUAACUCAGGGAAACUUGAGCUAAUACCGGAUAAGCCCUUACGGGGAAAGAUUUAUCGCCAUAGGAACGGCCCGCGUCGGAUUAGCUAGUUGGUGAGGUAAUGGCUCACCAAGGCGACGACGGGUAGCCGGCCCUGAGAGGGCGACCGGCCACACUGGGACUGAGACACGGCCCAGACUCC
rnacentral:rRNA from 1 species